CUACGGGUCGCUGCAGUGGGGAAUUUUGCGCAAUGGGGGAAACCCUGACGCAGCAACGCCGCGUGAAGGAUGAAGGCCUUUGGGUCGUAAACUUCUGUCAGAGGGGAAGAAAUACUCGCAAGAGAGCUGACGGUACCCUCAAAGGAAGCACCGGCUAACUCCGUGCCAGCAGCCGCGGUAAUACGGAGGGUGCAAGGUUGUUCGGAAUUAUUGGGCGUAAAGCGCAUGUAGGCGGACUGUUAAGUCUGGUGUGAAAGCCCGGGGCUCAACCCCGGAAGUGCAUUGGAUACUGGCAGUCUUGAGUAUGGGAGAGGAAAGUGGAAUUCCGAGUGUAGGAGUGAAAUCCGUAGAUAUUCGGAGGAACACCAGUGGCGAAGGCGGCUUUCUGGACCAAUACUGACGCUGAGAUGCGAAAGCGUGGGUAGCAAACAGGAUUAGAUACCCCCGUAGUC
rnacentral:rRNA from 1 species